CGGGACGCGGGGGGCGGGGGGCGGUGUCCCCCGAGUCCUAACGCCGCCGCCGUUGCCGCCGCCGCCGCCGCCGCCGCCCGCCCGGGCGCUCCGCCUCGGCCGUGCACACACCCUCACGCGCACGCCCGCGCCUGGCACACGCCCGCGGCUGGCACACGCGGGCUCCCCCGCGCACCCUCUCCGGGGCCGACCAGCUCGGGCCGCUGGCACAGUCACGCGCGUCCACACAUCACCCCCGCACCCACACGCCGGGCAGGGUCCUCGCCUCUUCGCCCCGCGCCGCGCCGCGCAGCCAAGCAUCGUCUGCCCUGUGGGGGCGCAGCUCCUGGACUUUUUAAAAUUCCUGGAAUUGUGUCUCUCUAUCAUGGGGCUGGUACUAUUACCAUACGUUUCAGAAAACAGCAUCUGUUUACAAAGCGUUUUAUUAUACAACACAGAAAUACAUUUCACCCCAAAUGAUAACAGUGAACUUCAGCCCCCAGAAUCUCCUUCUCCCCUUCGUGAAACAGAGCUGGGAUGAUGGCAGAGGACUCCAGAACGCACUGAGAUUGUUCCUUGGCGUGACAAAUGGCAAAGGACUCUAGAACGCACAGAGAUUGUUCCUUGGUGUGACGGGCCAGACAGCACACCUUUCUUCAAGCCAUUCUCACAUCAAAUAAAACGUUGAUAAAUCAUUGUUUCUCUAAGCUUGAAAAAUGCUACUAACUCAAGACAAGGUGAAAGUGAGUUUGUUGAAAUCAACGUGAAGGAUCGAGGGUACCAACUUGGAAUGUAAAACCAUAGAAAAUACCAUCUGGGAACACGGAAAUCAUCUGUCUUAUCUGGAAGCCUGUCUCCAGAGUGGCAAACUUAGGGACUGGUUUGAGGACAGAGUGUGCCCUGUGUGCUGGGGAGGGGUGUAAAGGACUGGGAUGGAGGAGGGGGGGCUCCAGAUGUUCUUUUACCCAUAAAUACACUGUACAUCACCGUCUGCCACUGAAGCUUAAGGAUUGAAAACCUUGGGGAUGUUUCACUGGUUUUGCUUCCGCCUCUGCAAUGUUUGAACUUGCAUUUUCUGAGCCACGUAUGCAACUAAAAGCCUUACAUGCAUUACCCACCCUUCACCUCUCUUACUAGUCCUAUUUACAGGUGAGAAAACUGAGGCACAAGGAGUUUUGCUGAUUCGGGAUUGUUACGGGUUUUAGGUUUUGUUUUCCUCCUGACAGCUCCUGGACUUUUUAAAAUUCCUGUAAUUGUGUCUCCCAAUCAUGGGCCAGGAAUAUGAGAAUCAGCUGUGAACUUCGAGCCUGUCCAUCUCAAAACUCUUCAUCUCCAAGACAUUUCAAUAGAGCUUUGCCAGUAAACAAAAAUAAAUACGGUUCGGUUUACCCAGAGGCCAAAUCCCUUGUAAUAAGUUCUGGGCCAGUUUCUUCCCAGAGCGGGAGAAUAUACAGUUGUAGUUUGAGUUGAUUUUAUUUCUUUGAGGCUUUGUUUUUCUAGUCUUUCAGGCCUUAACCUCACUCCCUCAGGAACAGCUGAAAUAUGAGAAGAGAUCAUAUGGCCCCCAAAAAGUCCCCAGAUUAACCAAGAUUGAUGCCACCCAGGGCCCAGUUGGGGUCAACACCCUGUGUCAGGUGCGCUCUCUGUAUAAUUCCUGUUUCCUGUGAGAAGAGCAUUAAAGGCCCGUUAAUGUUUUAAAAUGAAAUGCAACCUCUUAAUAAUCAGGUUUCUCCACUCUGCUAGGAUUCCAAAAAAAAAAAUCAGCAACUGACAAAUGUUAAAAAUUUCCUCGCUGCUAAUCAUGCUUUCCCCCGCUUCCCUUUCUUUCCCCCUCUCUUCUAACAUGAAUUUAUUUUCUAUUUGAAAGCCAAUCUCACUGGUUAUUAGAUAUUCUCCCUGCUGUCACUAUCAGUAAAUUAUUAAACAGCUGACCAAGCUUUGUUUUAAAAUGAUUCUCUUAUGAAGCUCAGUGAUAUAUUUGCUAUGAAUACUGAAUGGUGCCGCGGUCUCUAAGGUCACGUGAAUGAUUCCUAUUUACUACCUUUAGCAAAAUGUGUGUGCAAUUAGCGGCAAGAACUUGACUUGAAUCACAGUUACUAGGGAUGCCUGUAGCUCAUUUACAUGGAGCUCCCUUUACUCAUUACACUCCUGCCCAGGAGAAGCGUGUUAAGAUUCUAGGCCAGGUCACGAAAUAGCAUAUAGACUUGUCUUUUGUCAUUCCUCACCUCCUUUCUUGUCUUGCCACUGCUGAGCCUUGACAUACCUGUGGGAAUCCUUUGUUUCAUGGAGCAGCGGGUUCUAAGUGAAUUUUUGCUUAAAGAAAAUAAACGUGAUUGAGAGAAAAUUACUUACCUGUCUGUGUCUCUGCGUCUCAUCUAUAAAAUGGUCGUCAUAAUUUCUACCUCACGGAUUCUAUAAUGAGAACAAAGUGCUGAGCACAGUGCCUAGCAUCGGGUAAAUAUUUGGGAGGUGAUGGGUACUUAUUCUCCUGUUGACUGCUGCAUUAGUCCAAACUCUCAGUUGUAAGUGACAGAGACCUAUCUCCAAUUCACCUGAGCCAAAGAGGAAACACAGUGGCUUCCCUAAUCAAACAGUGGUUGAACAGUCAAGGUCUAACUUGGAAAACAGAAACUGCUUCAAGUAUUUGCAACAGAGGGGAUUUAAUGCAGGAAACUGGCUACACAGAUGAUGAGAGAGCUGGGAGACCAGGAAGGGAGAGGAAGGUAACGCACAAAUACACGAG
rnacentral:lncRNA from 1 species